rnacentral:rRNA from 1 species
GCUGGCGGCAGGCCUAACACAUGCAAGUCGAGCGGCCGUAGCAAUACGGCAGCGGCAGACGGGAGAGUAACACGUGGGAACGCGCCCUUCGGUUCGGAAUAACUCAGGGAAACUUGGGCUAAUACCGGAUACGCCCUUACGGGGAAAGAUUUAUUGCCGAAGGAACGGCCCGCGUCCGAUUAGCUUGUUGGUGAGGUAACGGCUCACCAAGGCGACGAUCGGUAGCUGGUCUGAGAGGAUGACCAGCCUCACUGGGACUGAGACACGGCCCAGACUCCUACGGGAGGCAGCAGUGGGGAAUAUUGGACAAUGGGCGCAAGCCUGAUCCAGCCAUGCCGCGUGGGUGAUGAAGGCCCUAGGGUUGUAAAGCCCUUUCAGCGGGGAAGAUAAUGACGGUACCCGCAGAAGAAGCCCCGGCUAACUUCGUGCCAGCAGCCGCGGUAAUACGAAGGGGGCUAGCGUUGCUCGGAAUUACUGGGCGUAAAGCGCACGUAGGCGGAUUGUUAAGUCGGGGGUGAAAUCCUGGAGCUCAACUCCAGAACUGCCUUCGAUACUGGCGAUCU